rnacentral:rRNA from 1 species
GACGAACGCUGGCGGCGUGCCUAAUACAUGCAAGUCGAACGCAGUGGGGACGGGUGAGUAACACGUGGGUAACCUACCAUCAGAGGGGAUAACACUUGGAAACAGGUGCUAAACCGCUACUGAUGGAUGGACCUGCGGUGCUUUAGCUAGUCGGUGGGGUAACGGCUCACCAAGGCCACGAUGCAUAGCCGCCCUGAGAGGGUGAGCGGCCACACUGGGAAUGAGACACGGCCCAGAAUCCUACGGGAGGCAGCAGUAGGGAAUCUUCGGCAAUGGACGAAAGUCUGACCGAGCAACGCCGCGUGCAUGAAGAAGGUUUUCGGAUCGUAAAGCUCUGUUGUUAGAGAAGCGGUAUCUAACCAGAAAGCCACGGCUAACUACGUGCCAGCCGCCGCGGUAAUUC